rnacentral:pre_miRNA from 1 species
UUUUUAGCAUAAAUAUAUCCUAUGCAAUAUUUGGGGCAUAUUUAUUCUAAAA